AUUAUUGAAGGAAUACCAAAUUCGCUAGGAGUGCAAUGAAUGAUGAGAAGGGAUAUAUGAGACAAGACCAGAAAUAUUGUCUGUUUCAAAUUCAAAGAUGACUUUUAUGGGUCAAGAUAAGAUUUUUAAAUUUUGUUGCUAAUUAUUACUUAAACUACUAAAGAGUUUUGAGCUGCUGUAAUCUGGAUUAUUUUUUAAAAGGACCACUAAAGUUGCUAUGUUGAAAUUAGAGAUUAGGAUCAAGGUGAAAUCAUGAAGACCAUUUGGGAUCAUUUCAGAUAGUAGUGAACAAACUUUAUAGAAAUAGAUGGAUUCUGGAUAAUUGGAGAGUAGAACUUAGAAUUUGGUGAAUGCUUUGACACAGGGAAGAUAAAAGACAAAAGAAAAAUGAAUCAAGCGUGAUGUAAGAUUUGAGAUGUGAGCAAGUAAAAUAGUGGAGUAAUUUCUUGAAAUUAUAAAUGUAGAGAAGCAGAUUAGGAGAGAUAUUCAACAAUUUCAGUUCAAUUAUGCUAAUUUUGAGAUAGCUAGCUGUUAUUCAAAUGUGUAUACAAAAAGGCUAUUGAAUAUCCAUGAGAGUUAGAGAGUUCAUGAAACAUUAGCAUUCGAUGUAAACAUUUUGAAGUUGACAGCAUAUAGAAGGCAUUUGAAACCAUAAGUAAUAAAAUACAAUUAUCUAUAUAUUUAUGUUUAAAAAAUAAGAGAAGGGCAGGUAUUUGGAAAAGCAGUUAAGAUACUGCCUGGGAGGUCUUCAUCACAGAUUGGAGUGUCAGAGUCAAGUUCUGAUUCUAGAUUCUUGCUAUUGUACACCCUGGGGAGCAGCAAGGGAUGAUGACUUAAAGUAAGUCCCUGCCACUCACGAUGGAGACUCAGAUGAAGUCUCUGCUCUGGCUUAAAUCAAGUCCCAUCACAAUUGUUGCAGGAAUUUGGGAAAUGAACUAACAGAUGGAAGAUUUUUCUCCCUAUAGCUUUCCCUAUAUCCUAUACCACUUACAAAAAUAUAACUAAUUAACUAACUAACUAAAUAAAUAUAUAUAUUUUUUUUUUAGUAGAGGAAAGGUCUUAGGUCUGAGCCUUGGGGAAAUUCCAAUAUUUACUGAACAUAACAAAGAAGAGGAUCCAGUAUAGAAAACUAAAAAAGAAAUUAACAGUGAGUAUAUUUAACAAAUGAUAAAGAAAGCAAUUUUUCAGGAUCCAAAGGAAGAAAGUAUAUCAAGAAAAAUAUUCAGCUAAUAGUACAAAAUAGAGGCAAGUUUUUGUGAAUAAAAUUCGAAUGGAGUGUUUGACGAAGAUUGUGAAGAUAGGAGGUCAGGAAGGAGACAAAAUCUCAUCCUCCCACAAAUCACAGUCCGUGUUUACUGUGCAAAACUCACAGGGCAUCCUCUAUCAUGGGGACUCGGUGGCACACAGCACUGAAAGAAGACUGGUCCUUCCACACUUACAUGGUUAAUUUUGAAAUUGAGAAUAAUCUACACAUUCAAAAUCUCCUGUGACCUGGAAGAAGCGCAAAUAUGACCCAGGAAAUUCAGAGAGCCCUCCUGGAACACAGAGGACCUCUUCUCUGCGAGUGUUCGGAGGGAUUGGUGCUGAGCCCAGUGCAGCAGAGCAGGGACAGGUCAGCCCUUUCAUAAGGAUAAGUUAUUUCUCUAUAAAAGUAUGCUGCCUGACAGACAGGGGCAAGAAGCACUAAUUCACAGGCUUUUAGUGGCUGACAGACACUUCACAUUCAUAACGCGCUCUCUGCUUGCAACAGCCAUUAAACCAGUGGCAGGAGUUUGGGGCCUCCAAAGAGUGCAAGAUGACCUUGGUCAGGGUCGGUAGGAAAGAGGAAAAAGAGGUAGCACGGAGAGAUACUGAUAUCUGCUCUUCAACAGUGAAAACAGAAUUAACAUGACCCAAGACUGUUACCAUUUAACUCAAAAGUUUCUCACCCAUCUAGAUAACCUGAUCUUCAAUGGUUUCACGUUACAAUUUCAUAGAUUCUAAGAGUCAGGAAGAGAAACUAGAUUAAUCCCCUCUUGUACAGGGGUCCACACAGGGUGAGUUAUCAGUUUUCUUAGAUCUUGGUAUACUUAUUGUCAAACUCAGAAUGGAAGGGGUGGUAAAGGAAGACUCAUUUAAUAUAUAAUUUAGUACAUCUGAUAUUUCUACAAAGUAUAUUUAUCGUGUGAUUGUAGAUGCUAAAAAAGUGAAACAUUGAACUUGCCUAUUUAAAUUACAGGCAAAAACGAAAGGCAUAUGUAGCUAGAAUAAUUCUAGUAAUGAUCAUGCAUAUUAACUAUUUCUAUAUGAGGAACUAUACUAAAUGCCUCAUAGAUUUUUUCAUUUAGGGCUCACUAGCUCUAUAUGAGGCUGGGAGAUUUGUUUUCUUAUUUUGCAGAAAAUAUAGUAGAGGCUAAGUAAGGUCAAGACAUGUGUUUAUAACCCCAUGGUUAGUGGGACGCCGAGCUGGUGUUCAAUUUCAACCUGAACUCACUCCAUAACUGCAGAUGUGUUCAGGCUCUAAAGAGAAGCAGCAAAGGGCAGAAGCUAUGAACAUAAACUUUGGAGACCCACAUUUUUAGUUUCAAUAUGGGUUUUGCUAUUUACUAGCUAUGAGGCCUUAGGCAAGAUAUCUCAUGUCUCUUUGCCUCAGUUUUCUACUCUUUGAAAUGGAGAUUUCAUCCAACUAACUCACCUGUAAAACAUACUGACACGUAUACUAAGGGCUACUGUGAAAGCAAAUUAAAUUAAAUGUUUGAAAGAUUUAGAACCGUCUGCUAGACAGUACAGACUUUAUAAGCAUUACAUAGUAUUUUUAUUAAAUGUAAAAACAGAAGAAUUUUUUUGAAAUAAAAUAUAGUCUAGAAUCUCUUAUGACUCAGAAAAUAUUGGAAAAUCAAUGAGUCAGGCAAUAUGAUACUUGUUGAGAGAAUGAUGAAAAGGCCUGACACAAUCCUUGAUACCAAAAAUAGAAGUUUAUUAUAAAAUCAAUCAAUCAAUAAACCCACUCUUUUUAACAUUCACAAAACAUUACAAGUAUUUAUAGUUAUUUUUCAAAUAAGGAAAUUGACACUUUAAAGGUACACUUGCCAAAGAUUAUAGGAGCAAUGAAGGACUGAAGAGAAUUACAUCUGGGUACUUAUUUUGCUAAUUAUAAAAUCUGUGUUCUCAGACACUCCCUUAUCCUGCAUCAGAAAAGUGGAUGUGUCUGGGGAUGGUGUUGUGGUAGAGCAGGUAAAGUUGUCGCUUGUGACGCUGGCAUCCCAUAUGAGCAUCAGUUUGAGUCCCGGCUGUUCCACUUCCAAUCCAGUCCCCUGUUGAUAUACCAAGGAGGGCAGUGGAAAAUGGCCCAAGUGCUUGGGUCCUGCACCCAUGUGGAGAUCUAGAGGAAGCUACUGGCUCAUUGCUUCUGCCUGGCCUAGCACUGGCUAACGUGGCCAUCUGGGGAAUGAACCAGCUGAUGGAAGAUCUCUCUCUCUCUCUCUCUCUCUCUCUUUUCUCAUUCUCUGACUCUCCCUCUCUAUCUCUCUAACUCUGGCUUUCAAAUAAAUGGAUGAUACUUUAAAAAUUUUUUAAGGUGGAUGUGACUUAUUAUAACCUAAGAAAGGAACAGGAAAUACUAGUAGCCAGGCUGACAAAGGGAGCCAGAAUUUGGACUUAAAGGUCAUAGCUCUUUUAUUCACCGAAUUCAUAAAAUAUUUGAAAUUACUAAAAAUAUAAAGAAAACUCUAGAAUUGUUAAGGCUAUUUUGUAUCAGAACUGAACUAUAGUUACAUUUAGAUCCAGUUACAGAAGAGAUUUUCUACAUUCCUUAUAGCUAGCCUACCCAUUCAUCCUGCCUGGCAUAAACUUUUUUCCAAUAUAAAGAGCAAGCAGCUGAUCAUCAGAACCACGUAAAAGGCUGAAAAUUAUAAAUUUCACUAUUUUCAAGGACAAAAUUAGAGAUAGAUUCAAUCUCCAAAUAGGAAAGAUAAAGUAAUCAAAAGGAGAAUAUAUUUAUGACUCUGUAAUUAGAAAGAAUUUACAAAUCAAGGCCCAAGAAUCAUAAGCCAAGAAAAUAUUGAUGGAUUUUCACACAUCAACAUUAAAAUACAACUGGCAUAAGAUAGUAUUGAGAAAGUUAACAGUCAGGUGCCAGAUUCAGAAAAGAUAAUUGCCAAGUUAAUAACUGAUGAUGAAUUAAUCAGAGUUCCUGAAAAAAAGCAAAAAUGGUCUGUGAGCACCUAAAGAAAAUGUGAGUAAGUUAUUUGAUUAACACAUGAAGAACAACUUGAGAGAUGACUUAGUUGGAUGAAAUAUUCAACCUCAAUACUGAUCAGACUAAUGCAAAUUAUGGCAAUAAUUAGACAUGAUUUUACACAAUCUGAGUAGCAACUGUCAGAAAAACUAGCCCUGCAAGCUUUGUGAUGGUAGGUCAAAUUGUAACCCUUAUGCACUGUUGAUGGAACAUAAAGUAACAAACGAUGCUGGGAAAACUCACACGGCAUUUAUCCUGUCAGCAUGACCACACUUUAAAUAUAGCCACUAAGCUCCUAUGUAGAGGUCCCAGAGAAACUUUUACACAGGGACACAAGGUCUGUUUAUUCUAUUGUACAUUAUCCCUUUUUCACAGGUGGUUGUUAAGAGGUGGUGCAAUCUAGGGUAUAUCAGAUUUAAAAAUGAAACACAUGCUGAAGAUUUACAUUAGGCAAUAUUUAGAUUUGCACUAGGCAAUGUUUGGAAAGAUUGAACUAGAUCAAAUAUGGUGAUGUUUAUCCCCCAAAGUAUGAUGUUGAGGAAGAAAUUAUAAAAACAUUAAAAUAUGGAUAGCCAUAAUUUCAAUGUCAUAGACCUAUACAACAAAUCAUGUAUUUUUCUGACUUUGAUAUAUGUAAAAAAUAUAAAAGUAAGGAAAUAUUUGAAUAGAAAUUUGUAGGUCUCCAUCAGGAGAGGGAAAUAAGUUUAUGAGUAUAUAAUGCAGGGAAAAUAAUAAAUUACAUAAUGACUAUGCACUAUGAAUAUUAGAGUAGCUAUGACUAUUUGAGAUAAAGAGAACAAAUAAAGGCAUUAGACACAAUAAUAUUUUAUCAUUUAUUGAAUUUUAGUGCAUGUAUGACUCUACACUGUGUACAAUUCAUUAAUUAUCACAUUUAAUUUUCACAAAAUAUUAUGAAGAAACAUAAUUCUAAAGAGAAGAAAAUUGAAAUGUCAGAAGGGAAAAUUUUUAAAGGUUACAAGAAUAAUGAGGAGCUGAUACAGAAUUACUACUUAGGUCACUAUUUUUCUGAGUCAACAGACUAUUUUUAUCUACUUAAUUUUCCUACCUCAUGACUGUUUCAAGAGACAGUUCUACAUAGACGUAUACAAAGAAGAUAAUAAACUAAAAACUAAUGUUAGCCUGGAGGUUUUAUGAAUCAUUUUAGUUUUGAAUUUCCAAAUACUAUUCACCUUGGAGAAUCUAAAGCAACACAACAAAAGCUAAUCUUGGAUCUGCUGUGUUCCAUACAUAAGGAGACAAUAGGUAGGGAUGAGAUCCCCAACCCCUAGAAUUAUGUUUGGCAGACAUUAGGUAGCGGGUGAUUGUUUUUCAAAUGAGAAAAUGGCUCAAUCAAGAGAUAAGCUUAAAUUGGGGUUGAAGUGGAAUGUAAAACAGUUCAAGUUUUAAACAAUAGACAUGUCUAGACAAAGAAGAUUAGAAUCAAAAACUAAAUUAAAGGUUGUGUCACAGAUGGCGAAAUCACAAACAAUUUAAUUUAUUUGGUCAUCUGGGUAGCCAUUAUAAGCAAGUGUCAAGAAAGAAUCAGUGGAAAAGUUUGAUGUGGUUUCAACAAUGAAUAAAAGUUAAAACCAGAGAAGUAAGCUGGUCGGACGCCAAGGUUGGUGCUCAGUCAGCACUGUGGACCGACACAAGAGUCUUUACUGAAGCCAUUGCCCUGGUUCAGCUAGAUAAAAUAAUUCCUGCCACCCUAUUUCAUACUGCUCUUCCUUGAGCAUAAAGAGUUCAUGUCUCCUGAAUCAGUGGAAGAGCUUGCAUAGUCUUCCUUCUAAUAAACCACACCCUGUGGUGUGGCUAUACUCCAAGGGGAGGUAUUCAUUUUAGUUUCAUGAUUGAAAACAGUGAUUACAAGGAACACCUGAAGGUUAUCUUCACCAAUAACACUUUUAUCUAUAUUCUCUUACUCUGGGACCUGCUUCAUUUUUGCCUCUGUACUUGACCUGAGGCAAGGUACUUAUAUGUAGAAUGAGAAUUUCAUCCCGCAUUUAAUAAGGAUCAAAAAGCUACAUUAAUUAAAGCUGAACUUCAUAACACAAAUGCCCAAAUUCUCCUGCAGAAAGCCAAGCUUAUAUUUGUGCUUACACUCAUCAGCAAUUACACUGCCAGUAUGCAAAAUUUCAGUAGGCAAAUGUUGGCAGACUUAAAUUAAAUAAAGAAGAAUCCUUAUUUCAGAAUAACCAGAGGCAUCUUAUGUCACCAGGAAGAAUCUAGAUAAAAAUAGAAUGCCUAGGUACUAAGAGUUGAGGCAGGCAUUUAUUUUCUUUAAAGAUGUUUUAUUUAUUUAUUUGAAAGGUAGAGUGAUAGACAUACAGAGAGAGAGAGGUCUUCCUUCCGUUGGUUCACCCCCCAAGUGGCCGCUACGGCUGGCACUGCACCGAUCCGAAGCCAGGAGCCAGGUGCCUCCUCCUGGUCUCCCAUGCAGGUUCAGGGGCCCAAGCACUUGGGUCAUCCUCCACUGCCUCCCCAGGCCACAGCAGAGAGCUGGACUGGAAGAGGAGCAACCAGGACUAGAACCCAGUGCCCAUGGGGGAUGCUGGCACCACAGGCAGAGGAUUAGCCAAGUGAGCCACGGCGCCUGGACCGAGGCAGGCAUUUAUCACAACCAUUAAAACAUCAGUUGAGAUGUCCACAUCCCGUAAGUGACUAUUUGAGUUUCAGUCCUGGCUCUGGCUUUUGUUCCCAGCUUUCUGCCUAUGCUUGACCUUGGGAUGGUCCAAGAUAUUGGAUCCCUGCCAACCAUGUAAGAAAUCUGGAUUCAGUUCCUGGCUCCCAAGUUUGACUCUAGGCUAGCCCAAGCUGUUGCAGGCAUUUUUGAAGUAGAACAUUAUACCAAGUAGCUCAAGUUGGUGGCCAGAGACAAGAAUUAGAGUCAUUCGUCCUGCUUAGUAGACUAGGUCCCCCACUUUUCUUGUCAUUUCCUUUAUAUGAGCCUUUUGACCAUUUUACCACAAAUUUUAAGUGACCUAUAACCCAAUCACUUGAGUUUGUGUGUGUGUGUGUGUGUGUGUGUACUGCUAUCUAUUUGCCCCACUAACUCAACAUUACCACCCCGAGCCCUACUAGACUCUUCAUUCCUGUCCUGGGUGAACCUGAGAUGAAGAACUGCUUGCUUAACUCAUUGUGCCCUCCGUUCCCAGCAUCUGUAAGCAAAAAUCUGAGUUUGUUUUCUGUUGUGGAGAUUUAUUGAAUUUUUGACUUCCAUGGGGAGAACCAGUGAUUACCUUAGUCAAGGCUUUCCCUGAUAUACUAUGGACAACAGAGAUAUUGGGCUCCUAGCACUAGAGUAGAAGUCCUGCAGGCAUACACUAUACACAGGUCAGACAAGAGCCACAAGAGCCUCUGCCAAAAUAAGCAAGCUUCCCAUGGGAAGGACCCUUGGCCACAGGCCAUCCAACAAAAAGGAGUAUCUUGCAAAAGGAAAGCUAUAAAUGUUUACAUUCAGCCUCCCUUAAGCCGCCAUUAAGGCAAGGUACUAGAUACCGUGGUUCUGGAACCCCAGUGUAUCUGGGGCUCCCAAAACAUACACACACACAUGUACACACACACACACAAGUUCAAAUUCAGCUGGGUAAAGUCUGGGACAAUAAAUACUAACAUGGUAAUUCUCUUUCUGAAACUCCCAGUAAUGAUUCAGUGACUCCCUGCCUGCCUGCCUGCCUUCCUCCUCCUCUUCUUGCUCUUCCUCUUCCCCUUCUUGUCCUUCUCCUUCCCCUCCUCCUCCUCUUCCUUCUUCUUUUCUUCUUCUUCUUCUCUUCUUCUUCUCCUUCUCCUCCUCCUCCUACUCCUCCUCCUUCUUCUUCUUCUCUCUCUCUCUCUCUCUCUCUCCCUCUCCCUCCCUUCUUCCCUCCCUCCCUCCCUCCUCUUUGAAAGGGAAAGAGAAAGAGAGACCCUGACUCUUCCAUUUGCCAGCUCACUCCCCAGACAGCCAAAAUCUCUGAGAUGAAGCUAGGGGCCAGAAUCUCCUUGUGGUCUGCCACAUAUGUGGCAGGGACUCAAAUCCUUGGGCCAUCAUCUGCUGCAUUUGAAGCCUAUUAACAGUGAGCUGAAUCCCAAGUAGAGUAGUCACAAUUCAAGCACACUCAGAUAUAGGAUGCAGGCAUCCCAUGCGGAGACUUCACCCACUGCACCAUAACAUCUACUCCAAAUUAGCUGAUUUUCAGUUAGCGAGUUAUUCUUCUCACUCUGCUUCAACUCCUAUAUGUUAAAUGGGAAUAAUGAAAGUUGUCUUUUAUGUCUCAUAGAAAUCUUAUGGGUAAAUUAGAUUACACACACCACACACACACACACACACACACACAUAUACAUUUGGAAAUUGUGAUACAAAUAAUUUGGAAAAUGUGAUACAAACUGCUAAUUAUUAGUGACUAUCUAUGGCCAGGAAAGAUACACUUUAAUUAAUAAUUUCAAACUAUAGAAAAUUUUAUUUUCUUUCAUGUAUGGAUACAAUAGUAGAAGGAAAAGUGUGAACAUUCAAAAUUUAGGAAAUACUUAUUCAAGAUGGAAUUGAAAACGAUUUGCAACAGAGAAAUUCAAAACAGGAGACAUUCUUAAAUUCAAUAAAAUAUAUAAAGAAACACUGGUUAUACCCACAAAGUAAUGAGGUGGCUUCCUGGGAGAAAUGAGACUAUGCAGUGAGAAAGAAAAAGUGGAACACAAAGAACAUAAGAAUAACUGGACAGGGGCCAGUACUGUGGUGUAUCGGGUAAAGCUGCCACCUGCGAUGGGUGCCAGCAUCCCAUAUGGGUGCUGGUUUGAGUCCUGGCUAUUCCACUUCCAAUCCAGCUCUUUGCUAUGGCCUGGGAAAACAGUAGAAUAUGGCCCAAGUGCUUGGGUCCCUGUGUCUGUGGUGGAGUCCCAAAAGAGGUUCUUUGCUCGUGGAUUUGGAUUGGCCUAGCUCUAGCCAUUGUGGCCAGUUGGGGAGUGAACCAGUGGGUGGAAGACCUUUCUCUCUGUCUUUCAUUCUCUCUGUCUGUAACUUUACUUCUCAACUAAAUAAAUAAAUCUUCAAAAAUAAAUGAUUAUAGAGAACUUAACCCUCUUUAAGUUUCUUUAAAUAUUUCAAUGUAAUAUUUGUGUCUUUAUUCUUAUUCAACUAUUUACAUAUGUACAGUUUCACCAAGAAUUACUGAUUUAAUAUUAUUUCCAGAUCUCCUCUUAUUGCCUUUUCUUUCCUGGACUUGAAGUCCCUCAUUAAAGUCUUUAAAAUAUGCUCAAGGUUUUAAAAACAAAUCAACAGAUGAUUUCUUUAGAGUGGUACAUCCUCCUGAAAUAUUAAAUGCAUUAUUAGGAGCUUAUGAAGGAUAUUAGGACCAUAAGAAAGAAGUCUUGAGAAUUCACAGGCAGUCAAAGUGUGGCUGGAAACAUAACCAAACUCUUAACAACAGAGAGCAGUUGUAGAUUUUAGUGAUUUAGAUGGCUUGGUAUAAUGAGAUAAACCUGAACUUCAGAGUAAAAAUAUCUGGAUUUCAAUCCUCUCACUAUCAUUUAUUAACUGUGGGGAAUACUCAGAAUGUAGUAUCAUGGCCAAGGGGCAUAUUUGAUCUUAUUUAAAAGAAGAAAAUUGUCUGCUUUCUAAGGUUACAGAGAAGAAAAAUGAAAACAAAAGGAGAGCGUAUAUAUGUAAGGACUUCAUAAGCAAUAAAACAUGAUACAAAUUUAAUACAGUUUUGCUGUUCUUACAAACACAGAACUAAAUACUCUAUUCUAAAAUUAUUUGAAUUCAGUAAAAGUGUGUGAUAUUCUAACAAAUUGAAUCCCCUAUAGUCAUAAUAGCUAUUAUUUAUUGAAUUCUUAUUAUUUGCAAAGCAGCAUGCCAUGUGCUUUACAACCCUAUCCAAUUUGAUUCCUGAAAUACAGUCAAUUUCACUAGCAGUUAACUGUGGAUGUGGAAUUAAAUACUGGCCUACCCAGGCCUGCAAGUAAAAUAUCCUCAUUAUCUUUAUUUUGUCUUGUUCCUCAGAGCCUCUUCGUAUACAAGUGCUUAGGUCAAUCUUUGCUUCCAAGCACUGAAAAACACUGAAUAUUACAGAUUAACUAUCCUACAUAUAAGAGUUCUUCAAUCCUUUCCCUAAUCUUUAUAAGAAAAGAAUGUUAUAAUAUCCCACAUCUUGGACUUGUCCCAAGAUGGCAGAAUAGUGAGGGCGCGCACCGAUUGUCCGGGAAAAUUUAGUUUAAUGAAAGUGGAGUUACGGUAGCCUCAGAAAAAGGAUCAGGAAAAAAUUGCAGAGGAAACUCUUCCAGAUCUAGUGGCUGUGACUCAGAGGACCUACUGGGAGAGCAGGGUCGCCCACCGCAUGGAAGCCGAACCGCGGGAGCCUCAGAGUCUGCGCGCCAGUGCGGGAAGGGGAGUGGAUGUGACACAGACACCAGCGGGAGAGGAGGGACGCCCAGGGCUUCGAGUCCACACAUCGGCGCUGGAAGGUGAGGUGAGCUCAGUAACCGGAGACAUUGGCUGGGAAACAGCGGACAGAAUUUUAGAGGGAAGUGGGCUUUGAAGCGGGAGAGUUCACCAGACUAACUACAGGAGAGAAGGAAAAAAAAAAAAAAAAAGGUGGGGGCGUACUGAUACAGACAAGUUUCUCUCUCCACCAACCUUGCAAAGGCAAGCAAGAGACAAAGAGCAAGCCCCGCUUGGGAUAUACAUAAUAAAGGGGGAGUAUUAAGGCUACAAUUCAAUAGCCUAGGCAACCCAGUGGGAGUCUGCAGGAGAAACCGAGCCUGCACAGACUCUUUGGGUAGAAGCCAGAGAGUGGAAGCUAAAUACCAUCAAUGCUGCUCAGCCUUCCAGUAUUACCUACCUCCUGAAUAAAAAAUAAAAUAAAAUAAAUAAAUGAAUAAAUAAAUAAAUAAAGAGGGAUUUACCAUGCAUAACCUAAGGGUGUCACCUUUGCACACCCAUAACCCUGAAGAACCAAGCAGAGCUCUCAGGCAACACCCAUCUCAAGCCUCCAAGGCUCCUCCAACAGCAGGCAGUCCACUUAACACAGACAUAGUAUAAAAAAAAAAAAAACUCACGGUGAGGGAAAAAGAAUUAACCAUGCCAAGCAAUAAACACAGAAAUCGAGGGAACAAGAUCAACAAUGACACUAUGACGCCUCCAAAUAAACAAAACACCCAAGCCAAGAUUAUGAAGAUGAUGAGAUAGAAGAAUGCAAGAUACGGAUUUCAAAAAAUUUAUGAUAAGAACAUUUAGAAGUUUUCAAAAGCAAAUCCUUAAACUACAGAAAUCCUUAUUGGACAGGAUUGAAAAUCUCUCUCGUGAAAAUGAAAUUUUAAGGAAGAAUCAAAAUGAAAUGCAGAAACUAGUAGAAGAGGAAAGUGUGAUAGUGAAAUCAAAAUGAAAUGAAGAGCUCAAUAGAUCAAAUGACAAACACAUUAGAGAGCCUUAUAAACAGAAUGGGUGAAGCAGAAGAGAGAAUAUCGGACUUAAAAGACAGAGAACAGGAAAGGAUACAGUCAAACCAAAGAAAAAAAGAGGAAAUCAGAAAUCUAAAAAAUAUUGUUGGGAAUCUACAGGAUACUAUUGAAAAAACCAACAUUCGGGUUCUAGGAGUUCCUGAAGGCAGGGAGAGAGAGAAAGGAUUAGAUGGCCUUUUUAGUGAGAUACUAGCAGAGAACUUUCCGGGUCUGGAGAAGGACAGAGACAUCCUAGUACAGGAAGCUCAUAGAACCCCCAGUAAUCAUGACCAAAAGAGAUCCUCACCAUGACACGUUGUAAUUAAACUCACCACAGUGAAACAUAAAGAAAAGAUCCUAAAAUAUGCAAGAGAGAAACGUCAGAUUACUCUCAGAGGUUCUCCAAUCAGACUCACAGCAGAUUUCUCAUCAGAAACACUACAGGCUAGGAGGGAAUGGCGAGACAUAGCACAGGUGCUAAGAGAGAAAAAUUGCCAGCCCAGAAUAUUAUAUCCUGCUAAGCUCUCAUUUGUGAAUGAAGGUGAAAUAAAGACCUUUCAUAGCAAACAGAAAUUGAAAGACUUUGUGGCCACUCGUCAGGCCCUGCAAAAGAUGUGCUACACUCAGAAACACAGAAACACGGCCAUCAAUAUGAAAGAAGGUAAAGGAAGAACACCUACCAGUAAAAGAGCAUGGGAAGCUCAAAGCAUAUACUAGAAAAUAUCUCCGGGAAAAUGGCAGAGCAAAGUCACUAUGUAUCAAUAGUCACAUUAAAUGUUAAUGGUCUUAACUCUUCAGUUAAAAGACACCGAUGGGCUGAUUGACUUAAGGAACAACACCCAACUAUUUGUUGCCUACAAGAAACACAUCUCUCUAACAAAGAUGCAUGCAGACUGAAAGUGAAAGGUUGGAAAAAGAUAUUCCAUGCCAACAAAAACCAAAAAAGCAGGUGUAGCCAUAUUAAUAUCAGACAAAACAAACUUUAAUACAAAAACUGUUAAGAGAGACAAAGAGGGACACUAUAUAAUGAUUAAGGGUUCAAUUCAACAGGAAGACGUAACUAUUAUAAAUGUGUAUGCACCUAAUUACAGGGCACUGGUCUAUUUAAAAGAUAUGUUAAGGGACUUAAAGGGAGACUUAGACUCCAAUACAAUAGUACUGGGGGACUUCAAUACUCCACUCUCAGAGAUAGAUAGAUCAUCCGGACAGAAGAUCAACAAGGAAACAGCAGAUUUAAUCGACACUAUUGCCCAAAUGGAUCUAACAGAUAUCUACAGAGCUUUUCAUCCUACACUUAAAGAAUUUACAGUCUUCUCAGCAGUACAUGGAACCUUCUCUAGGACUGACCACAUACUAGGCCAUAAAGCAAGUCUCAGCAAAUUCAAAAGAAUUAGAAUCAUACCAUGCAGCUUCUCAGAACAUAGUGGAAUGAAGCUGGAAAUUAGCAACUCAGGAAA